UACGGAGGGAGCAAGCGUUACUCGGAAUUAUUGGGCGUAAAGGGCGCGUAGGCGAUCUGACAAGUCUGGUGUGAAAGCCCACAUGUUAACUGUGGAAGUGCAUUAGAAACUGUUGGAUUUGAGUUCAGGAGAGGAAGGCAGAAUUCCCGGUGUAGCGGUGAAAUGCGUAGAGAUCGGGAGGAAUACCAGUGGCGAAGGCGGCGACCUGGACGGACACUGACGCUGAGACGCGAAAGCGUGGGAGCAAAUAGG
rnacentral:rRNA from 1 species